AUUGAACGCUGGCGGCAUGCUUUACACAUGCAAGUCGAACGGCAGCACGGACUUCGGUCUGGUGGCGAGUGGCGAACGGGUGAGUAAAGUAUCGGAACGUACCUUUCAGUGGGGGAUAACGCAGCGAAAGUUGCGCUAAUACCGCAUAUUCUGUGAGCAGGAAAGCAGGGGAUCGCAAGACCUUGCGCUGAUUGAGCGGCCGAUAUCAGAUUAGCUAGUUGGUGAGGUAAAGGCUCACCAAGCCGACGAUCUUUAGCGGGUCUGAGAGGACGAUCCGCCACACUGGGACUGAGACACGGCCCAGACUCCUACGGGAGGCAGCAGUGGGGAAUUUUGGACAAUGGGGGCAACCCUGAUCCAGCAAUGCCGCGUGAGUGAAGAAGGCCUCGGUUGUAAGACUCUUUGUUUGGUAGGAAUACCUAACGGAGUAAUAACCUUACGGGGUAGUGACGGUACCGAAAACGAAAUAAAGACACCGGCGUAACCUAACGUAGCCACGCAGCCGCGGU
rnacentral:rRNA from 1 species